rnacentral:rRNA from 1 species
ACUCCUGCGGGAGGCAGCAGUGGGGAAUAUUGGACAAUGGGCGCAAGCCUGAUCCAGCCAUGCCGCGUGAGUGAUGAAGGCCCUAGGGUUGUAAAGCUCUUUCACCGGUGAAGAUAAUGACGGUAACCGGAGAAGAAGCCCCGGCUAACUUCGUGCCAGCAGCCGCGGUAAUACGAAGGGGGCUAGCGUUGUUCGGAUUUACUGGGCGUAAAGCGCACGUAGGCGGACUAUUAAGUCAGGGGUGAAAUCCCGGGGCUCAACCCCGGAACUGCCUUUGAUACUGGUAGUCUUGAGUUCGAGAGAGGUGAGUGGAAUUCCGAGUGUAGAGGUGAAAUUCGUAGAUAUUCGGAGGAACACCAGUGGCGAAGGCGGCUCACUGGCUCGAUACUGACGCUGAGGUGCGAAAGCGUGGGUAGCAAACAGGAUUAGAAACCCCGGUAGUCCCAUGAU